GUGUUUGUAUCCAGGAGGCAAGCCAAAUCAGUCUCCUACAGGACCUGAGAUCCAGGAAUAUUGGGAACAGUGGUGCUGAAAAAUCCUAGCAACUGUUAUCUGUAUUCCCAUAAAGACGGACCUAUAAUCCACCUGCUACUACAUUCUAGAGCCACUCUGAAGUAAAAGGAGAAAAUGUGUUGCUGUAACAAAACCGUAAAAAGCUGUGUGAGAUGGAAUCUGGAGUAUCUAAAGGUACUCUGGCAGCCAUGAACUCUGACUUCUGAGCUCCUCAGCGCAGAAGGAUUUCUAUUCUCUGACAGAGCUCUAGACCCCAUAUGCUGCGUGGACUGGAGAUUCCCCUAAAAAGAAAUGCCAGAACAAAUAUAUAUGUAUUACUCACCUUGAUUCGGUUAUUUCAAGGAUCAUAUCACCUUCAUUUUCUGCCUGCUUGUGGUUGCUCUUUGGUAACUCAAGCAGUUGCGUUUUAUAUUUUGUACAGAGUUGACCAUUGUUAAUGGCAGGAAAUUAUUCUAGUAUAUGCUAUUUGCUAUAACCCAAAGCCAGGAACAUGAGUUUUUAAUAAGUUAUGUUAUAAAUGUUAAUUAUCUUUUUAUCAAUGAGACACUAUGAAUGUUAAAUUUUUGGCAUAGGACCACAUCUGGCAUAGAAAGUGCUUUCAAAUUAUAAGCCCAUCAUGAUUAGAGGAAUGAGUUAGAGUUUAUCAGAAGGACAACUAAAGAAGAGACAACCACAGAAGAGAACAUUGCAGUCCACACAAAGCCCUACAGCAGCCUGAACUCAUGAUAACCUGCUGUCACUUGCACAGCAUCCACGGCAGCUAUCUGUGAAGUCCUUAUAGCCAGCUGUUGCCUCUGAAAAAGUCAUUGUAAAGUUCAUGAACUCAGAGCAAAGACUUCUAGUCUCUAUUUGAGGUAGCUAACAGACUAAGGCUUAGCCAGAUACAGAAAUCAAAGAAAUAGAUAAUGUUAGAUAGAUAAUGUGAGUCUCGACCUGCUGUGGCUAACAGACUAAUACCUCAGCAGAUAGAGAAAUCAAAGAAAAAUAUGAGACUUAUGACAUUUCAAAAUGAUUUUCUACAUUGGAAUAAACAAGUCUCAUUGGCUACAGAUCAUGUUCAUAAGCUUCUACUUCAGAAGUACGUAGAAAACUGUGUUGCAUAAUGUGCCCAUGUAAAAUGUGUGGUACAGCACCUACUCAUGGCAUCCUGUCUAGUGUUUUAGACACUGGUUGCUUUUAUUUUUAUUUCAUUUUAUUUUAUUUUAUUUCAUUUUAUUUUAUUGAGAAGGAAUCUCACUCUGUUGCCCAGGCUGGAGUGCAGUGGCUCGAUCUCAGCUCACUACAACCUCUGCAUCCUGGGUUCAAGCAAUUAUCCUGUCUCAGCCUCCCGAGUAUCUAGGAUUGCAGGAGCACACAACCAUGCCCAGC
rnacentral:lncRNA from 1 species